rnacentral:rRNA from 1 species
UACGUAGGGUGCAAGCGUUUAAUCGGAAUUACUGGGCGUAAAGCGUGCGCAGGCGGCUUUGCAAGACAGAUGUGAAAUCCCCGGGCUUAACCUGGGAACUGCAUUUGUGACUGCAUGGCUGGAGUGCGGCAGAGGGGGGAUGGAAUUCCGCGUGUAGCAGUGAAAUGCGUAGAUAUCGGGAGGAACACCGGCGGCGAAGGCGGCCCUCUGGACGGUGACUGACGCUAAGACGCGAAAGCGUGGGGAGCAAACAGGG